UACCAGCACCCCGAGUGGUCGGGACGUUUUAUUGGGCCUAAAGCAUCCGUAGCCGGUUCUACAAGUCUUCCGUUAAAUCCACCUGCUUAACAGAUGGGCUGCGGAAGAUACUAUGGAGCUAGGAGGCGGGAGAGGCAAGCGGUACUCGAUGGGUAGGGGUAAAAUCCGUUGAUCCAUUGAAGACCACCAGUGGCGAAGGCGGCUUGCCAGAACGCGCUCGACGGUGAGGGAUGAAAGCGUGGGGAGCGAACAGG
rnacentral:rRNA from 1 species